ACUGGCAACUGGUCCGAGGUGUUUUCCUGUCUCCGGCUGAACGUGGAUUGAGAUAGACGCACAAUAAAUAAACCCUGAUGAGGCAUAAGCAGGACUCACAAUUCAACAAUAAUGCCUUGGAAACAUCUCAACUGAUUGCAUCAAGUUGUGCUGCUGAUGCCCCUCUGCUGAUGUUUUGCCCCAAACCCCUGAUCCAACAUCCUGCUUCAACAUGAAACAUGCAUUAUCAAUUUCAG